AAACAAGCAAGUACUCUCUCAUCCAAUCACACUAGAAAUUAAAAAUAUUAUGCUUUUCUUGAUGAUUCAGUCUAGUACUGAGUUUUUAAUUUUAGUUUUUUAUUAUUAUAUAUUGAGGGAAAUUGUGUAUAAAUGCAUAGAUUGUAGAUAUAUAAUUCAAUGACACACAUAAAUAUAUAAAUUCAUGUAGCCAAAACCUAAAUCAAGAUA
rnacentral:lncRNA from 1 species